CGAUCACGGAAGCGCAUUCUCGGCGCCUGGCAGCAAUCGCUGGCGGCAGUGAGAAGCUGGAUUGAAAGACAUCUCCAAGUGAUUUUCCCGCGCUAGGGUGGGGGGAAAUUAUUUCUAGGGUUUAUGAUCGCGGACGAUCCACGAGUGGAUUGGAGAAGCGCAUUGACGGAUUGGAUUGGAGGUAUGCCACGCUGCUCGCGAGAUUCAAGCGGCCGAAGAUUGGGGCGGGGAUUCCCGUGAAGCCGCCAUUGGCACCAAAGAAGCCGCUGGAUGAUUGGGAUAUUGAGAGUGAUCCCGAGGGGGAUUUCGAGCCGACUAGGAAAUGCAAAUCGCUGCUCAAGAAGAGAUGGGGAUGCUUACCGGACGAAUGCCAUGAUUCUGUAAAGACGCUCCAGAAGAUGGAAUUUUAGUUGGAAAGCAAAGACUCUACGACUACUUGGCUGGUGGAGUAUAUUUUGCACAGCCUGCAACGCGAAGACCCCGCUAUCAACAGGAUUGGAGGAAUUAGAGACAAGGAGGUACGCAUCACCUUUUUGAAAGCCUGGAAUGAUUUUUCUUAGAUGGAAGAAUGCACCAUGAGCUUAUCCAACUUACUGUAGUAGUUGCCACUAUUGUUGAGAGAGAGGAAGAACUAUGGUUAGAAUGAGUUAGUUGGAAAAGAAAUCUAUAAAACAGAUGGUUUGGUGGCCUCAUGUCCGGAAACUUGAACAUUCAGAAUGACAUCCAUUGUUUGCCAUACGAGAUGUUUGACAGAGAGGUCUCAAGGGAAGGAUUUCCAUGAGAGACAAGCUUCCAAUGAAGGAUCCGCUGUGGGAGCAUCAAUCAACGAAAUGUAUCCGUGCUGAGAACCGCUUGAGACGUUUCUUACAAGAUCUAGCCCGGAGAGAUUACAGUGGUAAAGCUUGGAGGGUAUGCAUUUGUUCUCAACUGGAAGUAGCACGAUGAAGGUCAGAUCAUUCCGAGAAUACAGUGUCACAUUCCAACAGC